rnacentral:rRNA from 1 species
UACAGAGGUCUCAAGCGUUGUUCGGAUUCAUUGGGCGUAAAGGGUGCGUAGGUGGCGCUAUAAGUCAGGGGUGAAAUCCUGGAGCUCAACUCCAGAACUGCCUUUGAUACUGAAGAUCUUGAGUAUGGGAGAGGUGAGUGGAACUGCGAGUGUAGAGGUGAAAUUCGUAGAUAUUCGCAAGAACACCAGUGGCGAAGGCGGCUCACUGGCCCAUUACUGACGCUGAGGCACGAAAGCGUGGGGAGCAAACAGG